rnacentral:rRNA from 1 species
UACAGAGGGUGCGAGCGUUAAUCGGAAUUACUGGGCGUAAAGCGCGUGUAGGCGGCGUGUCAAGUCAGGCGUGAAAGCCCCGGGCUCAACCUGGGAACCGCGCUUGAGACUGGCAUGCUCGAGUUCGGGAGAGGAUGGUGGAAUUCCCAGUGUAGAGGUGAAAUUCGUAGAUAUUGGGAAGAACACCGAUGGCGAAGGCAGCCAUCUGGACCGACACUGACGCUGAGGCGCGAAAGCGUGGGGAGCAAACAGG